AACUCUUAGCGGGGUGGAUCACUCGGGCUCGUGCGUCGAUGAAGAACGCAGCUAGCUGCGAGAACUAAUGUGAAUUGCAGGACACAUUGAUCAUCGACCCUUCGAACGCACAUGCGGCCCGGGUUCCCGCCCGGGGCUACGCCCGUCUGAGCGUCG